GCCUCUUGACUUAACCAUAAGAGGUCCAGCCUGCCCAGUGACAUUGUUCAACGGCCGCGGUAUUCUAACCGUGCGAAGGUAGCGUAAUCACUUGUCCUUUAAAUGAGGACUAGUAUGAACGGCCACACGAAAGCUAUGCUGUCUCCUUUUUCUAAUCAGUUAAACUAAUCUCCCCGUGAAGAAGCGGGGAUGAUUAUAUAAGACGAGAAGACCCUAUGGAGCUUUAAACAAUUGAAACACUUGUACCCAUCUUCCACACUUCCGACAGCCUACGCUUAAUUUUACACUUUGUUUCUAGCUUUAGGUUGGGGUGACCACGGAGAAAAAACAAACCUCCACGCUGAAAGAGUUAAUCUCUAAACAAAAAGCUACAUCUUUAAGUAUUAAUACAUUAACCUGAAUUGACCCAAUAAAUUGAUCAAC
rnacentral:rRNA from 1 species